UUCUCCUCCCUUCCAUGUGCCUGGAUUACUUCUUACCUUCCUGCGCCUGGUUUGCAUCCUUCUUAAAGGUGUAAUCAUACAGGUGUUGUUUUUCUCUCAGCCGGCCUGGCUGGAUAGAAGUAGUCGCAAUGAUCUCUGCUGGAGUUAAACACUCCAAAUGGUAAAGCUAGAGCAAUUUUAAGGUUGCAUGAUAAAGGAGCAAUUCUAGCAAUACAGUUCUGUUAUGUAGAUGUGCUGUUUACCCAUUGCCUCUGAAACGUUGCAGCAUUUCAGUCAUUUUCACUUCUUGAUUUCUUUCCCUUGACUUGGAUGUAUAUGGAGUGGAAAGUAAAGAAAGGCUGUAAUGUGGUGUUUGUUAUUGGAGCUCGGCUCCAUUUAGCGAUGUUUAACUGAAAAAUGUUAUGUUCCGACUGCAGAGAAGUGGAAGCUGUCAGCUCUCUGUAGGGCAGCAGGGCAGGCUGUGCUGUGCCUUGCAGCAUCCCUGCUUGUGGGCCAGGAGUGGGAACACGUGCACUGCCUUCACCAAACUCAAGCAACGUACUUCUUCAUGUCAUUGAACCUCUUGCUUUAAACUUACAAGGUUCGUGAAGGUGUGGGGUACCUUACAGACACCAUGUGUGCUCUAUGUGCCCUGGUUACAGUCCCAGCCACUCAGCAGGUCUGCAGUGGGCGGAACUCCCAGCGCUGUGCUCUGUGGGAUGCCCAGGGCAGGGCUGCUCCCAGGCACAAAGGCCCAACCCCUCUGGGAUGAAGCUCUGACCCAAGGCUCGUCUGACAGAGCAGCUUUUAAAGUGAAGGUUUAGAGAUGUAAUAGAGCUGCUUGUUUUGCACUACUGAAGCUCACAUUUGAAUCCAAAUCACAAUUGAGGAGAGCCUUGCUGCAGAACACCACGUGUGGCCCUGGCAUGAGAAGAGUGCUCAACAACAGCAAGACUUACCAUCCUGGGAUGGCUGCUCUGUGGGAAGCAGUUCAGUACGUUCAAAUGGGGAUGGUGAGAAGCACCUGGGGCUGAACUGCUCUGCACUGCAGCGAACCAGCACCCCAAAAGGUGCUUUAGUAACAGUUUAUUGUUUCAUAGAUCUUCUUCCCUUCACAGAUCUGUCCUUGAGAGGAAAUGUUCACUCUGUGCUCCUCUGAUGGUGUCUGUGACUUUGUUCAGUAUUGCUUUCCUGCAUCGUAGACUUAGUGACGAGUAGAGCUUCAAUAUUUGCAGACCCAACCACUUGCAAAGAAUAUGAGCGAUGGCAUUUCCCUUUUAAGGAGGAGCGCAUCAAGGUGCAAGGAGCAGUGGCUUGGUCCCAGUAAAGCAGCAGCAGAACUGGAACACAGUGUGUGACAUAACUGAGUGCCAUGGGUUCACUGUGCCUGGGAACAACGUGGGAGCUGCAAAGAGUCCUUUGUCCUCUCUGGUGUUGGAAAUAUCCUCAAUAAUUUUUGGUCAGGACGGUAUCUCUGAUAAAAAGCAGUUUUUAUUAAGCGAUUGCAAGGGCGGGCGCCCUGAUGGCAGAAGCACACCUAUGGACAUGAUGUUACAGUUUUUAUACCUUGUCUCCCAUACAUUUUCCCCUCCUGUUUCCCCUUUGAUUGGGUAUUCCAGGUUACACUUGUAAAUUCCCGCGUUAUCUUGUGUUAGUCAGUUGCCAUCCCUCUGGUUUUGUUGAUUUCCUUCAAAGCUUCUUUCAUUCUGUCCCAGAGACCGUCGUUAAACAAAAAGCCUGGGGGGGGGAGGUGAUUCCAGUCCUUCCCAUAUCUCUUCAGGCACAUCCUCAGGUAUGGCAUGACUUGUAGGUUUUACAGUGUAUACAACAAAACACUAAAACAUACAUUGUUACUAGUUUAGGCAUAUUAACAGGCAUAUUGUUAAUUAUUUUAACUUCUCCUCUUUGGAUCCUUUAUUACUCAGGACUUAUUUGUCCAGCACAAAAAAACAGUAGUUCUAUUUCAGACAGCUGGACAGACAGGAGCUGCAGUCUUUGUACCUAUGACUUCUACCUAAUAACUACAAAUUGCUUCACUUAUAUAAUGAGACCUUGAAAUAAAAUAUUCUUAUCUUAUUCUAAAUGCAGAAACAACAUUUGAUUCCCACACUGGUUCCUCUCUGAGAAGUCAGUAGUGUCUGGUGCCAUCCAGGCAGCAGGUAACCUGCAGGGAGCAAGUAUGGGAGCAAGAAAUGCUUUUUGUCUUUAGGGUGUUACUGUGUGCUGCGGGGUUCCUCUUUCUGAUGUGCAAAGUACUGAAGUUGUGUGUAAAGUCGCCAUUUAUCUGUACUUUUGUUCAGGAUGUUAAUGUAACUGAGAGGCUUCCUUAGGAGCUGUGUUGUUGACUGCCCUGUUUGAGCCGUGCUGAAUGCAGCAUCCAUCUACAGUGUGGCUGUCUUAGCAAAAUAAGACAUUGCUUCUAUCUGAAGAUUUCCUGCUGGAAAAUGAUUUCUUCAGGGUGACUUGUGGAACAAACUCUAUAACCACGCAGUAGUUUUAGAGCAGGAGAAAACGUCUCAGUGAUGUUUCCUGGGAACAACAUAUCUUCAUCACCAUCAGAACUCUAUGGCCGUUAUCUGAUCUUCAUUGGUACCAUUUUACUGAGGAGGUCAGAAUUUGACAUGUGGAGGUGGAGGGGAAAAAGAGAAGACUAGACUGGAAAUACUGACUGUGAAAUUACAGAGGAAACAGUAAGCUUGGGAAUGGCAUCUCCUCGUGAAUUUGUGCUACUGUCUUUAGAGACUGCAAGUCUGACUGCAGAAUGCAGAGUACCAUUGCACAAGCAGCCCUUGCUGCCAUGAGGAGCCCCAUGACUCUCCAGCCCAUUGCUGCCUUUCCCAGGAGGCACAAGCACAGCCCAUGCGCUGCUCACUGCUGUGAGAUGGACUUCACUGCACCAAAGCAAAGGUCGACCUCAGCAGUGCAGUGGGGUUGUUGCUCAAGUCAGACUUGAUUGUUAUUUCAGCCCUGAUUGUGGUGUUUGGUUGUUGUGCUCCCACCAGUGUAAUUAUACCCAAUUGUAAAGGCAUGCCUCAGUACAAGCUUUAAAUUAUGUAUUUCUGAGUUUUUCAGGAAGUGUUUCUCUCUUGCUGUGUCUGAGCAGAGGAAGGAGGCUGCAGGGGAUCAGUGAGGUGCAGGAGUGCCCAACAGAGAGCAUCUCCUUUGCAUUUCUGCCUCCUGUGAAACACAUAAUAGUUGAGGAAAAAUAGAGAAGUUGAGAAAAUCAGUCUUUGAUCCCCCAUUAGAAAGUCACCUUCUCAGAUAUCAGCUCUGGUCACUGGAGGAUUUGUACUGUGUGCUGAAUGGCAGCUGAAGUUCAGUUCUCCAUUUACAGAACAUUACAGAAACGCUUCUAUGUCUGUCCAAUA